AAAACUUUACUUUCAGGGAUUAUUUCUAUAGUUUGUCACUAGGGAAUCUUCUCUGACCAUGUAGAGCACCUGAAACCUUGAGGAACCAGAGCAUCUUUCCUGAGAAAGAAGCUGGUCCUAGGUGUUGCUUUUGUAACUGCUUCUCACUGGCCAUCCUUCUCUUCCUUUGGAAGAGUUAGAGGGAGAGAAUAUAGUCCGAGUAGU